GGGGAUGCGUCUGAUUAGCUUGUUGGCGUGGUAACGGCCCACCAAGGCGACGAUCAGUAGGGGUUCUGAGAGGAAGGUCCCCCACAUUGGAACUGAGACACGGUCCAAACUCCUACGGGAGGCAGCAGUGAGGAAUAUUGGUCAAUGGGCGAGAGUCUGAGCCAGCCAAGUAGCGUGCAGGAUGACGGCCCUAUGGGUUGUAAACUGCUUUUAUAAGGGAAUAAAGUGAGUCUCGUGAGACUUUUUGCAUGUACCUUAUGAAUAAGGACCGGCUAAUUCCGUGCCAGCAGCCGCGGUAAUACGGAAGGUCCGGGCGUUAUCCGGAUUUAUUGGGUUUAAAGGGAGCGUAGGCCGGAGAUUAAGCGUGUUGUGAAAUGUAGACGCUCAACGUCUGCACUGCAGCGCGAACUGGUUUCCUUGAGUACGCACAAAGUGGGCGGAAUUCGUGGUGUAGCGGUGAAAUGCUUAGAUAUCACGAAGAACUCCGAUUGCGAAGGCAGCUCACUGGAGCGCAACUGACGCUGAAGCUCGAAAGUGCGGGUAUCGAACAGGAUUAGAUACCCUGGUAGUCCGCACGGUAAACGAUGGAUGCCCGCUGUUGGUCUGAAUAGGUCAGCGGCCAAGCGAAAGCAUUAAGCAUCCCACCUGGGGAGUACGCCGGCAACGGUGCAACUCAAAGGAAUUGACGG
rnacentral:rRNA from 1 species